CCGCGGUAUACUAACCGUGCGAAGGUAGCGUAAUCACUUGUUCUUUAAAUGAGGACUAGUAUGAAUGGCAUCACGAGGGUUAUUCUGUCUCCCCUUUUUAAUCAGUGAAACUAAUCUUCCCGUGAAGAAGCGGGAAUAAAACUAUAAGACGAGAAGACCCUAUGGAGCUUUAGACUACUUAACAAAUGCUAUUUACUUUCAUAUCCUCUGGGAACUUAACUAUAUUUUAUCAUACUGAUUAAUAGUCUUAGGUUGGGGUGACCGCGGAGUAUAAUACAACCUCCAUGAUGAAAGAAACUUAAUUUCUUAAUUCAGAGUAACAACUCUAAAUACCAAAAACUUGACAUAGCUUGAUCCAGUUUACUGAUCAACGAACCAAGUUACCCUAGGGAUAACAGCGCAAUCUACUUCAAGAGUCCCUAUCGACAAGUAGGUUUACGACCUCGAUGUUGGAUCAGGGUAUCCUAGUGGUGCAGCCGCUACUAAAGGUUCGUUUGUUCAACGAACCCUA
rnacentral:rRNA from 1 species